AUUGAACGCUGGCGGCAUGCCUUACACAUGCAAGUCGAACGGUAGAGGGGGCAACCUCUCGAGAGUGGCGAACGGGUGAGUAAAGCAUCGGAACGUGCCCAGUAGUGGGGGAUAGCCCGGCGAAAGCCGGAUUAAUACCGCAUGAGACCUACGGGUGAAAGGGGGGGAUCGCAAGACCUCUCGCUAUUGGAGCGGCCGAUGUCAGAUUAGGUAGUUGGUGGGGUAAAGGCCUACCAAGCCGACGAUCUGUAGCUGGUCUGAGAGGACGACCAGCCACACUGGGACUGGGACACGGCCCAGACUCCUACGGGAGGCAGCAGUGGGGAAUUUUGGACAAUGGGCGAAAGCCUGAUCCAGCCAUGCCGCGUGCGGGAAGAAGGCCUUCGGGUUGUAAACCGCUUUUGUCAGGGAAGAAAUCCUUUGAGUUAAUACCUCGGGGGGAUGACGGUACCUGAUGAAUAAGCACCGGCUAACUACGUGCCAGCCGCCGCCGUAA
rnacentral:rRNA from 1 species